rnacentral:rRNA from 1 species
CCUACGGGAGGCAGCAGUGGGGAAUAUUGGACAAUGGGGGGAACCCUGAUCCAGCCAUGCCGCGUGUGUGAAGAAGGCCCUCGGGUUGUAAAGCACUUUCAGUGAGGAAGAACGCCUGGUGGUUAAUACCCAUCAGGAAAGACAUCACUCACAGAAGAAGCACCGGCUAACUCCGUGCCAGCAGCCGCGGUAAUACGGAGGGUGCGAGCGUUAAUCGGAAUUACUGGGCGUAAAGCGCGCGUAGGUGGCUUGAUAAGCCGGUUGUGAAAGCCCCGGGCUCAACCUGGGAACGGCAUCCGGAACUGUCAAGCUAGAGUGCAGGAGAGGAAGGUAGAAUUCCCGGUGUAGCGGUGAAAUGCGUAGAGAUCGGGAGGAAUACCAGUGGCGAAGGCGGCCUUCUGGACUGACACUGACACUGAGGUGCGAAAGCGUGGGUAGCAAACGGGAUUAGAUACCCUAGUAGUC